UUGCUCCCACAUCACCCGCUGCAGUGGCGCUGCUGCUGGGUCGGCCACCCUCUCCCUUCGGGCUCCCUCGUCAGGUGCCCCCCACCGCCGGAUCCAAAUCGGAUUUGGAGUCGCAGAUUGAACUCGCUCCAGCCUCCAGCCCAAAUCUUAUCCUUUUCCCUCGGAUUGGACCUCUGAUUCACUUUCUAUCUACUUCCUCUUGCACAUGGAAUCCAUCUCCCAAAUCUGUUCUUCCCCACCAGAUUAUUUUUCUUUUUUCAGGUCCAAUCCAUGCCUCCCCAAUUUCCUUCCUAGAAUCAAAAUGGGUGUAGCAGUAUGCUCGAAUCGCCAUCGCAGUUUCUCUUCCCUUGCCGCCGUCCGUCUCAAUAACUUAUAAUAACUUUGUCGUGGUUUUCUUCACCAACUCCGGCCCAUGUCGCUGUUGUCAGCCAUCUGACGUCUGUGAGCACCUCGUUAUAAAUUUCUGGUUAUGCCUCUUGCGACGAUAGUAACACCCAUUUUCUAAUUUUGGUUUCGCUCCCAGUCAGCAUGCUGCAUCUGGUCAUUUCCUCCCGCUCUUUCUUGCAGUCAGCACUUGCUUUUGCCUUUUCCAUAUGAUGCUGCUGAGUAUGGCCAUCACCCCUGUCCCUCUCUCUUAUAUUCCUCUUGCUUUUACUUCUUUGGUCCUCACCUUUCUUGCAGCGUCUACCACUUACCUGUGUAGCCUCCUGAGUAUACAGAUUGAUUAAUAAGAUUUGUCUUUACCAAUAGGAGGCUCUGCCUUUCAAACUGAUUUGGUUCUCCCAGCUAUUUCAAUUUCAGACUGAUUGUGCCUUCUGUUCUCUCUUUAGUGAUUUAUUAACAGAUACUUUCAACACUUAUUUGUUUCCAUUCUUGCAUUGUAGUUCCUGUAAGCUGAAUGUUAAGAAUUCAGUUUGCCUAUCUACUUCACUCAAAUGCACAUUAAAAAACUGGUUACUACGUUUGCUCUUCAAGAUUUCCUAAUUUUUGUUCCCCUCCUCAGUUUAUUUACGUUCAGGUAGCCCUGUGUCUCUCCAUCAAGGUUCUGAAUAUGAUCAGGUAGUCCCCUGUCUCUCUCUGUUUUUAGCAAUAUCCAGAGUUUUCUUUGGUACAAAAUUUCUUUCCAGAUGGUUCCUAUUUUUUGUAGGCUGCAAAGUAAACUGAAGGACCAUUCCAACUAAUGUAGCAUUGCUAAGUAAAAUAUGCUUAUCAGGUAUUGUACUUGGGUCAUGUGAAGCUCUAACUUUUACUUCUCUUUCUGCAUCUUCAGCAAUUCUAUCUGUACAACCAUGUCAUGAUAGAUUUUUGUUACCCUUAUAUGCUGUUUGUUUUCGUUUUUGUAUAAUCCUCAAAAGAUAUAUGGUUGAAAGAGAGAUCCUUGAACUUAACCUUACAAAUAUUGAUAUGAUAAUUCAGCAUCCGCAAAGAAUUGGUUAGGGACGUACCCAGCUGUGGUUAUGUGCAGGUCAUGGUUACUUUGAUGUAGCAGUAUACGGGUUCCUCCAGUUCAUCCAAUCCCUUUUUUUUUUUGCUGCUGCUUUGUUAUUAUUGUUAUUGACCUGUAAACAAUUGCAUUUUCUGUUCCAUUACAGAACAUAAUCGUCCUUUUCUACUUGACAUUUCUGGAGGUUUUGCAAAUAUCAAAUGAUUUAUGACCAUUUCUGAGACCAUUAGUAUUCCGAGUUUUAGCAAAUUGCUUCUUAUCUUUUCAUUUGUAACUGUUCAAAUUGCACCAGUGGGGAUAAUGUCUUUCCAUAGGUGAGGUCUGUGAAGCCCGUGUUAACAAGGCUUUUUUCAAUGGUACUAUAAGACAGGUGGAUUUUCACCAAGCAACAAAGCAAGUAAAUUCUCUUUCAGAUUGCUGUCGGUAGCAGCUCAUCCUCUAGCUGCUGCUACUCCAGCAAAGUUUUAUAGUAAUAAUGUAGAACAAGAACAAACUUAAUACAACAUUCCCUCUUCAUCAGCAUAAGGUGGCAAAUUGUAAAAUGAACAGUGAAAUGUCUAACUGAAAUUUCUUUUGGGGGCACAGCUUGGUCCCUUUUGUUGGUAAAAUCUGAAGCUUCUUCAAAUGGUUAUGACAAUGGAACGACAAGGAACUCAUGGGAGGAAAUGCCUAUAUGGCUCAAUCUGAGGAAACAAAGUUGGAAGACCACUCACCAAAUAAAGUCAAGGAGGAAACUCCAACCACUUGAUAUUGGCUUCUACCGAUUAGUAAUGUAGGCUCCUAUGGCAGGACUCACCACGGUUAUGAGAAGCCAUCAGCUUGAUGUGAGUCAGCAUGCUCAGUUUGGAAUAAAGAAAAUAGCUACGUUCUAUUCUGGAAUUUUGCAGCAGUUGAUUAUGGAUUGGUUGCGUGCCAAGCAUCGGUUCUUGCUCUAACCCAUGAGCUUGCACAACAAAUUGAGAAGGCCAUGUACAUCGAGGUUUGUUCUUCCCAACUCUGAGCAUAUUUUCUUCCAAUAUGCUUGCAGCAGUAUGCUUGAAUCUAUGACAAAUACCUGCUUGCUCCAAAUCCAGAAACCAAAUACAUCAGUGCUCCAAACUCUUCAUAUAGCAUGCUGUGCUCGAGCUUGCCAAGACGCCAACCCUUGCUCCAACUUCUCUUAUACGGCUUUCUAUGCGUGUGAGUGGCAAAAAAAUUUCUUUUUCUGUUGUGCUUUUUUUUCAGAUAGGGGAUAUUCUUCUUACAAGCAACACCGCCAGGCUUGCAGUAUGGGUGGCACUGGUGCUAAUUGGUUGCAUUACUGUAGCAGGUAUCAGCCGAGGGCUUAAGGGCAAUAGUAGGAAGCCAUGUUUUCUGUCACAUCCUUUGAUCAGUUCUAUCACUUCGACACUUCGUACCGACGUGAAAAAAUAUGUGUAUUUAGAUUCCUAUUAGAAGACUAAAUAAUAGCUCUGUAGAUUACAUGUUCCUUUAUAAACAGGGGGGG